rnacentral:rRNA from 1 species
AUUGAACGCUGGCGGCAGGCUUAACACAUGCAAGUCGAACGGUAGCACAGAGAGCUUGCUCUCGGGUGACGAGUGGCGGACGGGUGAGUAAUGUCUGGGAAACUGCCCGAUGGAGGGGGAUAACUACUGGAAACGGUAGCUAAUACCGCAUAACGUCGCAAGACCAAAGUGGGGGACCUUCGGGCCUCACGCCAUCGGAUGUGCCCAGAUGGGAUUAGCUAGUAGGUGGGGUAAUGGCUCACCUAGGCGACGAUCCCUAGCUGGUCUGAGAGGAGGACCAGCCACACUGGAACUGCGACCCGGUCCAGAGUCCUACGGGAGGCAGAGGUGGGGAAUAUUACACAAUGGGCGCAAGCCUGAUGCAGCCAUGCCGCGUGUAUGAAGAAGGCCUUCGGGUUGUAAAGUACUAUCAGCGGGGAGGAAGGCGGUGAAGUUAAUAGCUUCACCGAUUGACGUUACCCGCAGAAGAAGCACCGGCCAACUCCGUGCCAGCCGCCGCGGUAA